rnacentral:rRNA from 1 species
CCUACGGGCGGCUGCAGUGGGGAAUAUUGGACAAUGGGGGGAACCCUGAUCCAGCCAUGCCGCGUGUGUGAAGAAGGCCCUCGGGUUGUAAAGCACUUUCAGUGAGGAAGAACGCCUGGUGGUUAAUACCCAUCAGGAAAGACAUCACUCACAGAAGAAGCACCGGCUAACUCCGUGCCAGCAGCCGCGGUAAUACGGAGGGUGCGAGCGUUAAUCGGAAUUACUGGGCGUAAAGCGCGCGUAGGUGGCUUGAUAAGCCGGUUGUGAAAGCCCCGGGCUCAACCUGGGAACGGCAUCCGGAACUGUCAAGCUAGAGUGCAGGAGAGGAAGGUAGAAUUCCCGGUGUAGCUGUGAAAUGCGUAGAGAUCGGGAGGAAUACCAGUGGCGAAGGCGGCCUUCUGGACUGACACUGACACUGAGGUGCGAAAGCGUGGGUAGCAAACAGGAUUAGAUACCCCUGUAGUC